AUUGAACGCUGGCGGCAGGCCUAACACAUGCAAGUCGAGCGGACGAAGGGGGAUUGCUCCCGGCUUCAGCGGCCGACGGGCGGGUGAGGCCUAGGAAUAUGCCCGGCAGUUGGGGCUAGGGUCAGGACGCGGGCGCGGAUACCGUAUACGACCAUAGGGAGAACGGGGGGGAUCAUCGGACCUCACGCGAUCAGCUGAGCCUAGGUCGGAUUAGCUAGUUGGUGGGGUAAAGGCCUACCAAGGCGACGAUCCGUAGCUGGUCUGAGAGGAUGAUCAGUCACACUGGAACUGAGACACGGUCCAGACUCCUACGGGAGGCAGCAGUGGGGAAUAUUGGACAAUGGGCGAAAGCCUGAUCCAGCCAUGCCGCGUGUGUGAAGAAGGUCUUCGGAUUGUAAAGCACUUUUAGUUGGGAAGAAGAGCAGUAAGUUAAUACCUUGCUGUUUUGACGUUACCAACAGAAUAAGCACCGGCUAACUUCGUG
rnacentral:rRNA from 1 species